AUUGAACGCUGGCGGCAUGCUUUACACAUGCAAGUCGAACGGUAACAGGCCGCAAGGUGCUGACGAGUGGCGAACGGGUGAGUAAUGCAUCGGAACGUGCCCAGUCGUGGGGGAUAACGCAGCGAAAGCUGUGCUAAUACCGCAUACGAUCUAUGGAUGAAAGCGGGGGACCGUAAGGCCUCGCGCGAUUGGAGCGGCCGAUGUCAGAUUAGGUAGUUGGUGGGGUAAAGGCUCACCAAGCCAACGAUCUGUAGCUGGUCUGAGAGGACGACCAGCCACACUGGGACUGAGACACGGCCCAGACUCCUACGGGAGGCAGCAGUGGGGAACUUUGGACAAUGGGCGCAAGCCUGAUCCAGCAAUGCCGCGUGCAGGAAGAAGGCCUUCGGGUUGUAAACUGCUUUUGUACGGAACGAAACGGCGAGCUCUAAUACAGUUUGCUAAUGACGGUACCGUAAGAAUAAGCACCGGCUAACUACGUGCCAGCCGCCGCGGUAA
rnacentral:rRNA from 1 species